rnacentral:rRNA from 1 species
AGAAAUGGCGGCGUGCUAUACAUGCAGUCGAGCGGACAGAUGGGAGCUUGCUCCCUGAUGUUAGCGGCGGACGGGUGAGUAACACGUGGGUAACCUGCCUGUAAGACUGGGAUAACUCCGGGAAACCGGGGCUAAUACCGGAUGGUUGUUUGAACCGCAUGGUUCAAACAUAAAAGGUGGCUUCGGCUACCACUUACAGAUGGACCCGCGGCGCAUUAGCUAGUUGGUGAGGUAACGGCUCACCAAGGCAACGAUGCGUAGCCGACCUGAGAGGGUGAUCGGCCACACUGGGACUGAGACACGGCCCAGACUCCUACGGGAGGCAGCAGUAGGGAAUCUUCCGCAAUGGACGAAAGUCUGACGGAGCAACGCCGCGUGAGUGAUGAAGGUUUUCGGAUCGUAAAGCUCUGUUGUUAGGGAAGAACAAGUACCGUUCGAAUAGGGCGGUACCUUGACGGUACCUAACCAGAAAGCCACGGCUUACUACGUGCCAGCAGCCGCGGUAAUACGUAGGUGGCAAGCGUUGUCCGGAAUUAUUGGGCGUAAAGGGCUCGCAAGCGGUUUCUUUAGUCUGAUGUGAAAGCCCCCCGCUCAACCGGGGAGGGUCAUUGGAAACUGGGGAACUUGAGUGCAGAAGAGGAGAGUGGAAUUCCC